GAGUUUGAUCCUGGCUCAGAUUGAACGCUGGCGGCAUGCUUUACACAUGCAAGUCGAACGGCAGCGCGGGGCAACCUGGCGGCGAGUGGCGAACGGGUGAGUNAUAUAUCGGAACGUACCCAAGAGUGGGGGAUAACGUAGCGAAAGUUACGCUAAUACCGCAUACGAUCUAAGGAUGAAAGCAGGGGAUCUUCGGACCUUGUGCUCNUGGAGCGGCCGAUAUCUGAUUAGCUAGUUGGUGAGGUAAAGGCUCACCAAGGCCACGAUCAGUAGCUGGUCUGAGAGGACGACCAGCCACACUGGAACUGAGACACGGUCCAGACUCCUACGGGACGCAGCAGA
rnacentral:rRNA from 1 species